rnacentral:rRNA from 1 species
UACGGGGGGAGCAAGCGUUGUUCGGAUUUACUGGGCGUAAAGGGCGCGUAGGCGGCCACCGCAAGUCGACUGUGAAAUCUCCGGGCUUAACCCGGAAAGGUCAGCCGAUACUGCGGGGCUAGAGUGCAGAAGGGGCAACUGGAAUUCUCGGUGUAGCGGUGAAAUGCGUAGAUAUCGAGAGGAACACCUGCGGCGAAGGCGGGUUGCUGGGCCUACACUGACGCUGAGGCGCGAAAGCUAGGGGAGCGAACGGG